rnacentral:rRNA from 1 species
AUUGAACGCUGGCGGCAGGCCUAAUACAUGCAAGUCGAGCGAGCGGAGGGCGGGUGCGUAAUGUAGGGGGACUGCCCGAUAGCGGGCGAUAACUACUGGAAACGGUAGCGAAUACCGUAUACUAUCGGCUACCUCAUAUGGGAUUAGGUAGUAGGUGAGGUAAUGGCCCACCUAGUCGACGAUCGCUAGCUGGUCUGCGAGGCUGAUCAGCCACACUGGGACGGAGACACGGCCCAGACUCCUACGGAGGCAGCAGUGGGGAAUAUUGCGCAAUGGGCGCAAGCCUGAUGCAGCCAUGCCGCGUGUAUGAAGAAGGCCUUAGGAUUGUAAAGUACUGUCAUUCGAGAGGCGUUACCUACAGAGGAAGCAACGGCUAACUCCGUGCCAGCAGCCGCGGUAAUAC